UACAGAGGUGGCAAGCGUUGUUCGGAAUUACUGGGCGUAAAGGGCGCGUAGGCGGCAGAUCAAGUCAGCUGUGAAAUCUCCGAGCUUAACUCGGAACUGUCAGCUGAUACUGUUUUGCUAGAGUGCGGAAGGGGCAAUCGGAAUUCUUGGUGUAGCGGUGAAAUGCGUAGAUAUCAAGAGGAACACCUGAGGUGAAGACGGGUUGCUGGGCCGACACUGACGCUGAGUGCGCGAAAGCCAGGGGAGCAAACGGG
rnacentral:rRNA from 1 species